GACGUUCAUCAACUCACGCAUUUUUGUUCAUCAAAUCAUUCCAUUAUAUUGAUGGAAUUCGUUUAUCAUCCACCGUCCUCAACCUUUCAACCGCCGGUGGUCAACUUGAACGAGUUUGGUGAAGCAAAUCGGAAAGUACUGUGAACCAAAUCAGAGAUUGGUGUGAAGCCAUGGUCCAAUCGCUUUCUAAAGGUAUGAAUCUAACCGUUUAAUUAGACAUCACCGAAGAAACUCGUCCCCUUUCCGACGGUGCUCAACAUCUGCGACUUCGAUGAACUAAAUCAGAGACUUUGAUGAACCAAAUCGUUUUCUGAAGUUGCUUGCCAUGUUCCUUGUUUGUGUAUGUUGACAAACAUUACAUUAUGGUUGAAGAGGUCGCCUUUAGUUUCGAUGGAGGAAAAGAUUCUAGUGUAAGUUACAACUGUUCCCUUGUUAGAAUCUCGUAGCAUUAUUAUAGCUCAAGAGCCACCAUGUUUUGUAUGUUUUUUUUUGCCUUGGUCAUUGAAAAUACUGAUGUAACUGGUGGUGUUUGGUGACAAGUAUUCUCCAAACCUUAGGAAGAUUAAGGUGGUGAACAAGAAGAAAGUAAGAAGAGCCAAACUUUAUUACCUCAGGGACAAGGUCAAUGUUCUCAGGAAGCUUCACGCUUUGCUCUCAAUGCUCUCAAUGAAUGAAUACGACUUUGAGUUUAACUUUGGCUUUGAAUUUUGUGAAUGGCAAAACAGAAUCAGUAUAUGGCUUUCAGUUUAACUUUGUUAGCUUUGAGUUAGCUUCUCAAAAUGUGUUUAUGAAGAAUGUAUCAAACUUGUGUACUUUAUCUCUUUUAUCUUUCUUUUCAAGCAAUCAAAACUCAAACACCAAUAUUUUUUUUCU